AGCAGCCGCGGUAAUUCCAGCUCCAAUAGCGUAUAUUAAAGUUGUUGCAGUUAAAAAGCUCGUAGUUGAAUUUCGGGAUCAAUGCGUCGGUCGUGCCUCGGUACGCACUAACGAUAUUGACCUCUACCUUCUGACGAACCGUGAUGUCAUUAAUUUGGUGUUACGGGGGGUUAGGACUGUUACUUUGAAAAAAUUAGAGUGUUUAAAGCAAGCAAUCGCUCGAAUACAUUAGCAUGGAAUAAUGAAAUAGGACGUUCGAACCUAUUUUGUUGGUUUCUAGGAUCGACGUAAUGAUUAAUAGGGAUAGUUGGGGGCAUUAGUAUUCAAUUGUCAGAGGUGAAAUUCUUGGAUUUAUUGAAGACUAACUACUGCGAAAGCAUUUGCCAAGGAUGUUUUCAUUAAUCAAGAACGAAAGUUAGGGGAUCGAAGACGAUCAGAUACCGUCGUAGUCU
rnacentral:rRNA from 1 species